GAUGAACGCUGACAGAAUGCUUAACACAUGCAAGUCUUUGGCGAAGCUGUGCUUGCACAGCCUAGCCAAGGCGGACGGGUGAGUAACGCGUAAGGAACUUGCCCUGCAGUCAGGGAUAACAGACGGAAACGACUGAUAAGACCUGGUAAAGUCAGGCGGACUCAUGUCCAGCCUGAUGAAAAGAGAUGCUGCAGGAGAGCCUUGCGUCCUAUUAGCUCGUUGGUGGGGUAACGGCCCACCAAGGCGAUGAUAGGUAGCCGGCCUGAGAGGGUGGACGGCCACAAGGGGACUGAGAUACGGCCCUUACUCCUACGGGAGGCAGCAGUGGGGAAUAUUGGACAAUGGGGGCAACCCUGAUCCAGCAAUUCUGUGUGCACGAUGAAGGUUUUCGGAUUGUAAAGUGCUUUCAGCAGGGAAGAAAAAAAUGACGGUACCUGCAGAAGAAGCGACGGCUAAAUACGUG
rnacentral:rRNA from 1 species